GCCCACCAUUUAUCNGAAUGCCUUGGCACCAGGAGUCGAUGAAGGACGUGGUAAGCUGCGAUAAGCCACGGGUAGCCGCAAGCAGGCUUUGAUCCGUGGAUUUCCGAAUGGGGAAACCUACCUAGGGUAAUACUUAGGUACCCACUACUGAAUACAUAGGUAGUGAGGAGACAUACCAGGGGAACUGAAACAUCUAAGUACCCUGAGGAAUAGAAAGAAAACUCGAUUCCCUAAGUAGCGGCGAGCGAAAGGGGAUUAGCCCAAACCUAGAAGUUAUCUUUUAGGGGUUGUGGAUAUGUUCAUUAAGAAAGAGGCUAUUGUAGUUGAAGAGGUCUGGAAAGGCCCACCAAAGAAGGUAACAGUCCUGUAGGCAAAACAAGAAGGNGGCUCGUCUCAUCCUGGGGCUGAAGUAGGUCCCAAGGGUUGGGCUGUUCGCCCAUUAAAGAGGCACGCGAGCUGGGUUCAGAACGUCGUGAGACAGUUCGGUCCCUAUCCGCUGUGGGCGCAGGAAAUUUGAGAGGAGCUGUCCUUAGUACGAGAGGACCGGGAUGGACAUACCUCUGGUGUAUCAGUUGUCGCGCCAGCGGCACGGCUGAGUAGCUAUGUAUGGACGGGAUAAGCGCUGAAGGCAUCUAAGCGCGAAGCCUCCCUCAAGAUGAGAUUUCCCACUUUUUAAGGUAAGACCCCAGAUAGACCAUCUGGUUGAUAGGCCUAGGGUGUAAGGGCAGCAAUGUCUUUAGCUGAUAGGUACUAAUCGGUCGAGGACUUGACCAG
rnacentral:rRNA from 1 species